rfam:Oryza glaberrima chromosome 1 Oglab01_0302_7, whole genome shotgun sequence.
AAUAAAUAUAAUUUUACACCGUUCAUCUUCAACAUUUGACCAUUUGUUUUAUUUAAAUUUUUUUAUGAUUAGUAUUUUUAUUGUUAUUAGAUAUAAAACAUUAAUAGUAUUUAAAGCAUGACUAAUUAUUUUUAAUUUUUUUCAUAAUUUUAUAAAUAAGAUGGACGAUCAAACACUGUACAUAGAUACCCUCGACUAUAGUUAUU